UGGGGAAUAUUGCGCAAUGGGCGCAAGCCUGAUGCAGCCAUGCCGCGUGUGUGAAGAAGGCCUUCGGGUUGUAAAGCACUUUCAGCGGGGAGGAAGGCGAUAAGGUUAAUAACCUUGUCGAUUGACGUUACCCGCAGAAGAAGCACCGGCUAACUCCGUGCCAGCAGCCGCGGUAAUACGGAGGGUGCAAGCGUUAAUCGGAAUUACUGGGCGUAAAGCGCACGCAGGCGGUCUGUCAAGUCGGAUGUGAAAUCCCCGGGCUCAACCUGGGAACUGCAUUCGAAACUGGCAGGCUAGAGUCUUGUAGAGGGGGGUAGAAUUCCAGGUGUAGCGGUGAAAUGCGUAGAGAUCUGGAGGAAUACCGGUGGCGAAGGCGGCCCCCUGGACAAAGACUGACGCUCAGGUGCGAAAGCGUGGGGAGCAAACAGG
rnacentral:rRNA from 1 species